rnacentral:rRNA from 1 species
CAGCUUGUUGGUGAGGUAAUGGCUCACCAAGGCGUCGACGGGUAGCCGGCCUGAGAGGGUGACCGGCCACACUGGGACUGAGACACGGCCCAGACUCCUACGGGAGGCAGCAGUGGGGAAUAUUGCACAAUGGGCGGAAGCCUGAUGCAGCAACGCCGCGUGAGGGAUGACGGCCUUCGGGUUGUAAACCUCUUUUAGCAGGGAAGAAGCGAAAGUGACGGUACCUGCAGAAAAAGCGCCGGCUAACUACGUGCCAGCAGCCGCGGUAAUNCGUAGGGCGCAAGCGUUAUCCGGAAUUAUUGGGCGUAAAGAGCUCGUAGGCGGUUUGUCGCGUCUGCUGUGAAAUCUGGAGGCUCAACCUCCAGCCUGCAGUGGGUACGGGCAGACUAGAGUGCGGUAGGGGAGAUUGGAAUUCCUGGUGUAGCGGUGGAAUGCGCAGAUAUCAGGAGGAACACCGAUGGCGAAGGCAGAUCUCUGGGCCGUAACUGACGCUGAGGAGCGAAAGGGUGGGGAGCAAACAGGCUUAGAUACCCUGGUAGUCCACCCCGU